rnacentral:rRNA from 1 species
GGAUGAGGAGGCUUCUGGGUCACCUCCCACCCGUGUUAUUUACCUUGUUGCUUCUGCGAGCCUGCCUUUUGGCUGCCGGGGGACGUCAGUCCCCGGGUCCGUGCUCACCAGACACACCUUAUAGCUCUGUCUGAACAUUGUACUCUGAGAUUAAAUAUAAAUUAUUUAAAACUUUCAACAGCGGAUCUCUUGGUUCCGGACAUCCAUGAAAAACGCAUCGAAAUGCGAUACUUAAUGUGAAUUGCAAAAUUCAGUGCAAUCAUCCACGUCUUUGAACGCACAUUGCGCCCUCUGGUAUUGCCGGGAUGGCAUGCCUGUCCGAGCGUCAUUGCUGCCCUCAGGCACUGCUUGUGUGUUGGGCCCCGUCCUCCUUCCGGGGGACGGGUCCGACAGGCUCCGGCCGCACCGCUUUCCGGUCCUCAUUCGUAUGGGGCUUUGUCACUCGCUUUGUACGCCUGGCCGGCGCUUGCCGAUCAACCAGACUUUAUAUCAGGUUGACCUCGGAUCAUGUAUGGAUACACGAUGAACUUAAGCAUAUCAAUAGCCCGGAGGAAA